UGGGGAAUAUUGGGCAAUGGGGGCAACCCUGACCCAGCGACGCCGCGUGAGGGAAGAAGGCCUUCGGGUUGUAAACCUCUUUUGUAUGGGAAGAAGGACGUGACGGUACCGUACGAAUAAGUCCCGGCUAACUACGUGCCAGCAGCCGCGGUAAUACGUAGGGGACGAGCGUUGUCCGGAAUUACUGGGCGUAAAGGGCGCGCAGGCUGUGCUGCAAGUCAGCUGUGAAAUAUCUGGGCUUAACCCGGUUAUGCGGUUGAGACUGCAGUGAUGGAGUGCUGUAGAGGCAAGCGGAAUUCCCAGUGUAGCGGUGAAAGGCGUAGAUAUGGGGAAGAACACCGUUGGCGAAGGCGGCUUGCGGGGCAGCAACUGACGCUGAGGCGCGAAAGCCAGGGGAGCAAACG
rnacentral:rRNA from 1 species